rnacentral:rRNA from 1 species
GUUGUAUAGUCAAGUAAUUAAGUGCAUGUGGUGGAUGCCUUGGCAGUCAGAGGCGAUGAAAGACGUGAUAGCCUGCGAAAAGCUCCGGGGAGGCGGCAAAUAUCCUUUGAUCCGGAGAUGUCUGAAUGGGGGAACCCACCUACUUUAAGGUAGGUAUUGCAACAUGAAUACAUAGUGUUGCAAGGCGAACGAGGGGAAGUGAAACAUCUCAGUACCCUUAGGAAAAGAAAUCAAUUGAGAUUCCCUCAGUAGCGGCGAGCGAACGGGGAUCAGCCCAUUAAGUUAUGUGUGUUUUAGUGGAACGCUCUGGGAAGUGCGAACGUAGAGGGUGAUAUUCCCGUACACGAAAGGGCACACAUAAUGAUGACGAGUAGGGCGAGGCACGUGAAACCUUGUCUGAAUAUGGGGGGACCAUCCUCCAAGGCUAAAUACUCCUGACUGACCGAUAGUGAACCAGUACCGUGAGGGAAAGGCGAAAAGAACCCCUGUGAGGGGAGUGAAAUAGAUCCUGAAACCGCAUGCAUACAAGCAGUGGGAGCACCUUCGUGGUGUGACUGCGUACCUUUUGUAUAAUGGGUCAGCGACUUAUAUUCAGUAGCGAGGUUAACCGUAUAGGGGAGCCGUAGAGAAAUCGAGUCUUAAUAGGGCGUUUAGUUGCUGGGUAUAGACCCGAAACCAGGCGAUCUAUCCAUGAGCAGGUUGAAGGUUGGGUAACACUAACUGGAGGACCGAACCCACUGUCGUUGAAAAGCCAGGGGAUGACUUGUGGAUAGGGGUGAAAGGCUAAUCAAGCCUGGUGAUAGCUGGUUCUCCCCGAAAGCUAUUUAGGUAGCGCCUCGGACGAAUACCAUAGGGGGGUAGAGCACUGUUUCGGCUAGGGGGUCAUCCCGACUUACCAAACCGAUGCAAACUCCGAAUACCUAUGAGUACUAUCCGGGAGACAGACUGCGGGUGCUAACGUCCGUAGUCAAGAGGAAAACAAUCCAGACCGCCAGCUAAGGCCCCAAAAUCAUAGUUAAGUGGGAAACGAUGUGGGAAGGCAUAGACAGCUAGGAGGUUGGCUUAGAAGCAGCCACCCUUUAAAGAAAGCGUAAUAGCUCACUAGUCGAGUCGGCCUGCGCGGAAGAUGUAACGGGGCUAAAACUAUGUGCCGAAGCUGCGGAUGUAUACUUUGUAUACGUGGUAGGGGAGCGUUCUGUAAGCCGAUGAAGGUGUGUUGAGAAGCAUGCUGGAGGUAUCAGAAGUGCGAAUGCUGACGUGAGUAACGACAAAACGGGUGAAAAACCCGUUCGCCGAAAGACCAAGGGUUCCAGUCCAACGUUAAUCGGGGCUGGGUGAGUCGACCCCUAAGGCGAGGCCGAAAGGCGUAGUCGAUGGGAAAAUGGUUAAUAUUCCAUUACUUCUGUGUAAUGCGAUGAGAGGACGGAGAAGGCUAAAUCAGCCUGGCGUUGGUUGUCCAGGUGAAAGGAUGUAGGCAUGUAUCUUAGGCAAAUCCGGGGUACUCUAUGCUGAGAUCUGAUAGCAAGCUGUACUUGUACAGCGAAGUGGUUGAUGCCAUGCUUCCAGGAAAAGUCUCUAAGCUUCAGUUACACAGGAAUCGUACCCGAAACCGACACAGGUGGUCAGGUCGAGUAGACCAAGGCGCUUGAGAGAACUCUGCUGAAGGAACUAGGCAAAAAUGGUACCGUAACUUCGGGAGAAGGUACGCUGUUGUUGGUGAUGGAACUCGCUUCCUGAGCUGACGACAGCCGCAGAAACCAGGCCGCUGCAACUGUUUAUUAAAAACAUAGCACUCUGCAAACACGAAAGUGGACGUAUAGGGUGUGAUGCCUGCCCGGUGCUGGAAGGUUAAUUGAUGGGGUUAGCGUAAGCGAAGCUCUUGAUCGAAGCCCCCAGUAAACGGCGGCCGUAACUAUAACGGUCCUAAGGUAGCGAAAUUCCUUGUCGGGUAAGUUCCGACCUGCACGAAUGGCAUAAUGAUGGCGGCGCUGUCUCCAGCAGAGGCUCAGUGAAAUCGAAAUCGCUGUGAAGAUGCAGUGUACCCGCGGCUAGACGGAAAGACCCCGUGAACCUUUACUGCAGCUUGACACUGAACUUUGACCUUACUUGUGUAGGAUAGGUGGGAGGCUUUGAAGCUGGAACGCUAGUUCCAGUGGAGCCGUCCUUGAAAUACCACCCUGGUAAUGUUGAGGUUCUAACUCUGUCCCGUGAUCCGGGACGAGGACCGUGUCUGGUGGGUAGUUUGACUGGGGCGGUCUCCUCCUAAAGAGUAACGGAGGAGUACGAAGGUGCGCUCAGCGUGGUCGGAAAUCACGCGUAGAGUAUAAAGGCAAAAGCGCGCUUAACUGCGAGACCCACAAGUCGAGCAGGUACGAAAGUAGGUCUUAGUGAUCCGGUGGUUCUGUAUGGAAGGGCCAUCGCUCAACGGAUAAAAGGUACUCUGGGGAUAACAGGCUGAUACCGCCCAAGAGUUCAUAUCGACGGCGGUGUUUGGCACCUCGAUGUCGGCUCAUCUCAUCCUGGGGCUGAAGCAGGUCCCAAGGGUAUGGCUGUUCGCCAUUUAAAGAGGUACGCGAGCUGGGUUUAGAACGUCGUGAGACAGUUCGGUCCCUAUCUACCGUGGGCGCUGGAAAUUUGAGAGGAUCUGCUCCUAGUACGAGAGGACCAGAGUGGACGAACCUCUGGUGUACCGGUUGUGACGCCAGUCGCAUCGCCGGGUAGCUAUGUUCGGAAGGGAUAACCGCUGAAAGCAUCUAAGCGGGAAGCCUACCUCAAGAUAAGAUUUUCCCUAGGACUUUAUGUCCUCUAAAGAGCCGUUCGAGACUAGGACGUUGAUAGGUUGGAUGUGGAAGCAUAGUGAUAUGUGAAGCUGACCAAUACUAAUUGCUCGUGAGGCUUGACUAUACAACACCCAAGCAGUUG